rnacentral:lncRNA from 1 species
UCGGGACCCUGUGACCGGGCUGCAAGCAGACAUGUUGUGGCCGCUCUCAGUGCUGGGAGUGGGGACGGCCCAGAGAGCGUGUCUGAGCUGCCCUGGAGCCUGACAGGGGCCUCAGAGCGCCUUCAGCAUCUUCACACUCAGACCCCAGACAGACCCUACAGACUCUGAUUGUCCCUGGGAUCUCAAGCCUUGAGAGGACUGGAGGCCUGACCCCCCAUGCCAGGAAUGACCAUCAGUGCCAGGCAGGCCCUGGGCAGCUGGAAAAGGGUCAUCACCCCAAAUGUCCCCUCACCCCAUGCCCCCUCUCCUCCAGGAUCCCAGAACCUGCCCGCUGAGCACAGGUCCUCACGGGAAGGCAGCUCCAGGACUAACAGGACCAUGAUGACUUUCCUUCCACCAAGAACCACGUGGCUGCUGUCUUCUGGGUGCAGAAAUGGGUGCUCAUCACCAGGGAGUCCAGGCAACAGAGGAGGGACCGUCGUUUAACCAAACCUGCAGAUACCAGGACAGAGGAAAAUCAGCUCAGGUCACGGGGCUGAACAUACCCACAGACCGACUGCAGCACAGGGACACAGAGGCCAAAAUUCUAUGCGUUAUAUGCAAAUCCACUAGUGAAUCACUCAGUAUUUGCUCACAGACAACAUCCUGCAUGGGCUCACUCCCUGCCCACAUGAAGAUUCAAGUCUAGAAGGGAAGACAGCCAUUCCAAAGAUAAAUAAGAGUGAUUAAACAAUAAAUGAGAG